GACGAACGCUGGCGGCGUGCUUAACACAUGCAAGUCGAACGGUAAACCUGCUUCGGUGGGGGAUCAGUGGCGCCCGGGUGCGUAACACUUGGGCAACCUGCCCUCACCUCUGGGAUAACUCCAAGAAAUUGGGGCUAAUACUGAUUAUGACCGCUGACCGCAUGGGCUUGUUGUGGAAAUAUUUAUCGGCUGGGGUUGGGCCCGCGGCCUAUCAGCUUGUUGGUGGGUUAGUGGCAUACCAAGGCGCCUACGGAUAGCCGGCCUGAGAGGGUGGACGGCGACCAGGGGACUGAGACAGGGCGCAGACUCGUAGGGGAGGCAACAGGGGGAAAUAUGACGGAAUGGCGGAAAGCCUGACGCAAAGACCCCGCGUGGGGGAAGACGGCUUUCGGGUGAUAAACAUAUUUCAGAGGGGACGAAGAGAAAGUGACGGUACCUGCAGAAGAAGCACCGGCCAACUACGUG
rnacentral:rRNA from 1 species